CCUACGGGUGGCAGCAGUGAGGAAUAUUGGUCAAUGGACGCAAGUCUGAACCAGCCAAGUAGCGUGCAGGAUGACGGCCCUCCGGGUUGUAAACUGCUUUUAGUUGGGAAUAAAAGGGGGCUCGUGAGCCCCGUAUUGUAUGUACCAUCAGAAAAAGGACCGGCUAAUUCCGUGCCAGCAGCCGCGGUAAUACGGAAGGUCCGGGCGUUAUCCGGAUUUAUUGGGUUUAAAGGGAGCGUAGGCCGGCUUUUAAGUCAGCUGUGAAAGUCCGCGGCUCAACCGUGGAAUUGCAGUUGAAACUGGAGGCCUUGAGUGCACACAGGGAUGCCGGAAUUCAUGGUGUAGCGGUGAAAUGCUUAGAGAUCAUACAGAACACCGAUUGCGAAGGCAGCUUACCAAGCUACUUCUGACGUUGAGGCACGAAAGCGUGGGGAGCAAACAGGAUUAGAUACCCUGGUAGUC
rnacentral:rRNA from 1 species